rnacentral:rRNA from 1 species
UACACUGCACGACAGUGCGAUAGGGGAAUCCCGAGUGCGAGGGCAUACAGUCCUCGCUUUUGCACACCGUAAGGAGGUGUGCGAAUAAGGGCUGGGCAAGACCGGUGCCAGCCGCCGCGGUAAUACCGGCAGCCCGAGUGAUGGCCGAUAUUAUUGGGCCUAAAGCGUCCGUAGCUGGCCGAACAAGUCCGUCGGGAAAUCCACGUGCUUAACGCGUGGGCGACCGGCGGAAACUGUUCGGCUUGGGGCCGGAGGACCCGAGGGGUACGUCCGGGGUAGGAGUGAAAUCCCGUAAUCCUGGACGGACCGCCGGUGGCGAAAGCGCCUCGGGAAGACGGACCCGACAGUGAGGGACGAAAG